CCUGGUAUGUGCAAGCAUGGUAUAGGAUAGAUACCUAGUGAAUGCUUCCUCAACCUCUCCGAGCCCCAGUGUCCUCCUAGGAGAAAUGGAGAUUAAAUCCAACAACAUGUGCAGGCUUCAUCCAGAAAGUCCUUCUGAUUCUUGGAUAAGGAUUCAUGCAGGUGAGCUGGAAGGUUUCUGCAAAGAGCACCAUGACUUCUAGUUGUCCUGUCCCCGACACAUGGGAAAAUCAAGGCUCUGAACUCAGGAAAAUGCCGAGUAUGUCAGCAUCUGAUCCUUUACCCUUCAGUGCAUGUGCACUUGAAGCUGGCUUCAUCCUCUAUUCUAGCGCAGAAACUAUGUGAAACAACUGCUGGAUGCUUUCUCAAAAAUGGGUCUGCCCCAAACCUCCCAGUCCAGAAUGUUCCAAUGUAGUUCCUUGCACUGCUUUGGGCUCAGCAAGUUUUCAUGGUAUGGAAGGUCUGAGAGCUUUGAGGAGAAGCGCUGAACCCUGAUCUUCUGUGUGUGUGUCAGGGAAAGCUUCCUGGAGGAGUCAUUAUUUGCACUGACUUUGAAGAAGCAGGAGGAGCUGGCUGGGGAAGGAGGCCAGGGGUAGGAGGGGAAAUUUUCCUGCAGAGGAAGAAGCUUGUGCCAAGCAUGGCCUGGAGGCUGGAAGGUAACUUGGCCUCUUAAUGCAGCUGCAGGGGCUCAAUGUGGCUUGAAAGGUGGUUGGGAGUGGUGGGUGAAGACAGAGGAGGGGGGGGGGCGGUGGGCAGGGCCACCUCAUGAAGGCCUCGAGUCUAAGAGUUUGGAUUUUCUCCCUAGGAUCCUUAGGGGUUGAGAAGAAACUGCAGGUUUUAAGCAAAGGAGUAGCCUGAUGAGAUAUGGAUUUUUGAAAGAGACCCAUGGGGCCUUAACUCAAGUGAGUCUUAGUUGCCUCCUUUGAAAAACAAGAAAAAUAGGGGGACUUUCCUAUUUUUGGUUAAGAAUCUGCCUUCCAAUGCAGGGAACGCGGGUUCGACCCCUGGUCGGGGAACUAGGA